CCUACGGGAGGCAGCAGUGGGGAAUUUUGGACAAUGGGCGCAAGCCUGAUCCAGCAAUGCCGCGUGAGUGAAGAAGGCCUUCGGGUUGUAAAGCUCUUUUGUCAGGGAAGAAACGGCUGAGGCUAAUAUCCUCGGCUAAUGACGGUACCUGAAGAAUAAGCACCGGCUAACUACGUGCCAGCAGCCGCGGUAAUACGUAGGGUGCAAGCGUUAAUCGGAAUUACUGGGCGUAAAGCGUGCGCAGGCGGUUUUGUAAGUCUGUCGUGAAAGCCCCGGGCUUAACCUGGGAAUUGCGAUGGAGACUGCAAGGCUUGAAUCUGGCAGAGGGGGGUAGAAUUCCACGUGUAGCAGUGAAAUGCGUAGAGAUGUGGAGGAACACCGAUGGCGAAGGCAGCCCCCUGGGUCAAGAUUGACGCUCAUGCACGAAAGCGUGGGGAGCAAACAGGAUUAGAUACCCUGGUAGUCCACGCCCUAAACGAUGUCUACUAGUUGUCGGGUCUUAAUUGACUUGGUAACGCAGCUAACGCGUGAAGUAGACCGCCUGGGGAGUACGGUCGCAAGAUUAAAACUCAAAUGAAAUUGACGG
rnacentral:rRNA from 1 species